GCUGGUGUAGCUCAGUAGGCAGAGCAACUGACUUGUAAUCAGUAGGUCGGGGGUUCGAUUCCCUCCACCAGCUCCA
rnacentral:tRNA from 1 species